UCAGUUAUUAGCAUUUUGAUGUUGCAAGCGCUCAACGUCGAACAAGAAGGAAAGAAACCUGACGCCAAACCGUCUGAUCUCGUCUACCCAAUUUGAAAUUCGAGAAAGUGAUCGGGAGAUUGAAUAUCGUCUGCAAUAAUGGCACCCGCCCGUUUCAUUCUACUGAUUCUCGUGUCGAUAAUAUUAGUAUUUGGGUGCGAGGGAUGGCCGCUGACUUUCCCUGCGAGGAACCGGGUAAAGUGUCCGACGGGCUAUAGACCCGUCCGUACCGGAGGCUGCAGAAGGGUUGUAGCAACUUAAGAUACGACACCCUCCCUUACGCAAGAAUGUGGCACAAACAAUGUCGCAGGAUAUUUUUCCCCGGAAAUGUCAUACUGGCAAAGGAAACGAUAACGCUUUUGUUUCUGGUAUCAUCACGAUCGUAUCUUUUAACUUCGAACCUAUCAGUAAAAGAUGGAUUGAACGUACACGAAAAUGAUCGCUUUGACAAAAAUUGGCAAUCAUGAAUUAUCAGAAGUCCAGCGCUUUUGUAAUUAAUAUGCAGAACGUAAAUAUUGCAUACCACCGUAUAAAUAUACAACAUUAAUAAAUAAUAAUGAAAUAAAUAAAAUAAAUCAA